AGGGGUAUAGCUCAGUUGGUAGAGCGGCGGUCUCCAAAACCGCAGGUCGGGGUUCGAGCCCCUCUGCCCCUGCCA
rnacentral:tRNA from 1 species